rnacentral:lncRNA from 1 species
CCCGGAUCCAUUUUAAUCACCCUUGGUGUUUUAUUAGAAUCAUCUCAGGGAGAAGUAGGAGCAAAAAGAGACAUCCUUAGAUGACCUGAAGAGUCAGCUAAAUGGCCUGCCAUCUCUCAUGAUUCUCCAUCACACUCAUUUGCCUCUCUUGCCGUCAUCUGCUUAUUUCCUCUUCUCCAUCUCUGACUCUGCCCAUGACCCUCUCAGGCCUGUUUGAUUUCCUUCUGGUGGGAGGGGAGAGUACCUUUCCAGACUAGCAACAAUUGGCUUCAGGGCCCUGCUCAGUACCUGUGCCCUCCUUACCCAGGCCCUACUUUCCUCCCAGCCCCUUGCCUACAACCUUAGUCAGAUUAUCAGAAACACUUCUAGUCAUUGACUAUGAGUAAAACAUCCACAAUCAUCAGAAACUAGCUCUCAUUGAGGGCCAGUUUAUCCUCACUCCCCACUACCAUGCUCCAUCAGGUUUUCUCCACUGCAAGGCCAACAGCCUCUAUCAUGAUGCUAAUUAUCUCCACAUUAGCACCUCAACUGUGAUGCCACUGUCCAUGCCACAUCCCAGCAUGCUAACAAGGAGACUUACUCCACUCCUAUCCAAUGACUUGUUCAGCCCUUGAUCCAUGGAGAUAAGAAAUGAGAGCACCUUCUAGAAACCAACUUCCAAGCUUUGGCUUCCACAAGCACCCCACUGCCUAGCUCAUCUGCCCCACCCAGAUCUGAACACCAUGAGCAAGAUCAUCAGGAGUUUCCUGGGAGCCUUAACAAAAUUCUGAACAGUUUCCAUAAAGUGGGUAGAAGUGAGUAAAUGCAAGGCUUUCUGGAACCAUAGAAGACUAUAUAAAUUUUCUUUGUAAAUUAGGAGAACCAUAUUCAGUGGAAAUAGAAAUAGAAAAGACUUUGAAGAUUUGGCAGGUAAGUUAACUGGGUCAUUCCAGGGCUGUCUCUCGUAACCCUCUCAGUCCAGCCUCAGCCUCUGCUGUCACUAAUCUCUCCAUCUUGUCUCUGCCUUCUUCUCUGUGUCUCUCCUCUCUCUGGCCUACCUUAUCUUCCCCUCUCCCUACUUGCUUUUCCCCCAGACAUUAUAGAAGAGAGUUCCUUAGGUAGUAGGCUAGUCCAGGUGGCUUUGCAUUUCAACUGUUGCUCAAAGAGAGCUUGUUGGUUCCCCUACAGAUACAUAUUUAAGUGGAAUUUGGGGUCUCAAAAGCACUCUUUGCUCUUCCUUCAACAUCACCUUCUCUUAGCUACCUCAGAGCUGCCCAGUCUGCACCCCUCCCAACAAAUGCCAAUCAUUCGAUGACUUGCUAAAAAGAGAGCACACAUUAGUGAGGGUAGGAAGGCCAAGGGAAAUGGAGUAUUGACAUCAGGAGUUUCAUUUUUUCUGUUCAGAACCUUGACGCACUGUACUAUGCACUCUCUGUUUAGGAGCCUCAGCUGAUACACACCCUGCUUGCCAAAUAGAAAAUUUAGAAGAGUCUUUUCCUCUCUUCCCUCAGAAAUUUGUGGUGCCUGAGUCGGUUGACAUUUGUGACAAUGAUUGUUGGGAAUUUCCAAUGGAGUCUUGAAUCUCACCACCAUUCCCUUUUCUUAGGAGAGACAACUAGGGGGGCUCCUCCCCAUGACCCCACCCCAGCAAUCAUGACAACUGUUAUGUAUAUCAUACAUGGUUCACCCAGGGCCUAACCAUGCCACAACCCAUUCUACUUCUCACCUGUUCCCCUCUCUUUCACCUCACUUCUAACAGGCUCUAUUGAAGACACUUGGAAGGGCAGCCUCUCCCCAUGCCUACUUCCCAUCCUUUGGGUUUCCAGCUGCAGAACAUACCAGCACCCUCUCUCUUUAGUUCAAUUCUUCCCUCUCAUUCACCCAAUGGAGGAGUGGUUUCUGCAGCUCUCAUAAUCACGGGGGGAGAGAAGCGGACAAGUAGAAUGGACUAUUUUCCUGGCACUCUUUUACUUCUCCACUCACUUCCUCCAACUGCCUUUGAACUACUAGACUUGAACGACCCCUCCCCUACCCUUCCAAAGGGAGCAAUAAUAAUAGCUAGCACUUACUGAGUGACAACUAUGUACCAAGCGUGGUUUGCUCAGCUUUUCUGGGACUCCAGCUCUCAGUCCCUGUGGCACUCUCUCUUUCCUUUGUCAAACUUUCCAUCUCUCAACUCCCUGUCUCAUCUCUCUUUAUCUCCAACUCCAUCUUCUAACCAGUUAUGGGGUAAUCCACUGUCAUUCUUCCAGAGGCCCCAUCUUAUGUGACUAGACCCUUCAAGGAUAGGCCACCCCAUCUCUAUGCUCGGACCAUCACUAGCUACUCUCAGGAAUUGUCUCAUGGUCCAGGCUACCCUUUUCACCAUCCAAGCCAGCUCUUACCACAACCACUGCCUCAUCACCCCACUGCCAGUUAGCCCCCGAUUCCUGGACCUUAAGAGUCCCCUGAAGUGACCCCAUCCUUUCCCCCAGGUCCCAGAACCUAUCCAGACCCCAAGAAUGGCCACGGCAUUUCACACAGGUUACAAAAGCUGCAAUAAGCAUUUUUGACUCCAGCCUUCUGCUGCGUGACUCCUCUGUCCCCAUUCCCGGCCACCUUUCCCCUCCCUCCUGCCCACUCACUUGCCCACCAACUGUUUAGCAAAGCAAAACCCCCUUUAUAAAAUGAUUCAUUCAAUAUGACACUCUCAUUUCUCCUGAAGGGUUCGUUUGUACUUUUAGAGCCCCAAACGCAUUCCUUCUUUGGAAAUUUCUUUACACCCUUUACUGAGAAGACCCUGGAUUUUGAGUGUGAAAAAUGGCUGAAUCUACUUCGGAAAAGAAUAAAACCGUUACCCCAGGAUCUCGCAAAGCGAGAAUUGACUGGUAACUGCCAUCACGCUUCCAAGGCUCAUCAUUCACUGGGCUACUGACCUGUCAAUCACUUCUGCUAGGCCAAUGAGCAGCACCCCCUGACACAAACGGAGGUUGGAGGACAGGCCAAUCGCUCCCAGCUAUUUGAGCCAAUGGAGAAGUUCCUGAUGCCCACACCUGCUGGUCUCACCGCUAGGGCCUGGGCAUCACAGGCAGGGGGAAUGGGGAGGGGACGGUAGCGUCAGCCUACACCCACACGCAGUUUCCUGAUAAAAGGUCCUUUGGAAACUUUGAUUCUCUUCUCACCAAGUUGAACGGAGAUGUGUUCCCAUAGUAAGAGUGAGGCCCCUGCAUUUGCUGCCCUCGGUUUUCCCAACUAACACCAGGGCCUCCCCCCUGUACCCCAUUCAUAUGCCUCAGAAGCUGACAAUGACUGUUGGGCUUUUCCAAUGAAUACCAGAACACCAUUUCCUGCAGCCUGAAAAGAAGACAGUAUAAUUGUUUGGCAGCAAGAGAAUCCAGGUGCCCUUCCAUGAGAAGCCCAAGCCAUGUGGAGAAGCCACGUCUAGGGACUCCAGUUAACACUCUCAGCUGAGUCCCCAGCUGACAGUCAGCAUCAACUGCCAGCCACCUCUGUCUAAAAGUGGGCUAUCUUGGGCAUCCAGCCCAGUCAAGCCUUCAGAUGAGUCCAGUCCCAGCCACUAUCUCACACAACCACACGAGAGACAUCAAGAACUCCCAGUGGAGUCCAGUCAGCCCAUGGAACUGCAAGAGACAGGAUCUCGCUGCGUUGCUCAGACUGGUCUCGAACUCCUGGGCUUAAGGGAUUCUCCUGCCUCAAUCACAGCCUCCCAAGUAGCUGAGAUUAAAAGUGCUCACCACCGUGCCAGCGAGUUCAGUUUUUGAGGGUGGAGCCAAGACUCUGAGGAGAGGGCUGAACUGUGAACCUAGAAGUACCAUCUCCCCCUGCACACACCUUUGGUCAAGUUGACCCCAAGAAGAAGGACAAGUCCUCUGCACGGCGAUGAGGCCAUACACACAGUCUGUGGCCCGGCUUUGGGAGACUGAUGGGACAAAGGAUGUUUUGCACGAUCCUUGGUCUCUGAGCAAAUAUAUACAUGGGUUAACACAAAGGCUCUCUUUUUGAAAAAUGUGACUGUGAAAGUGUGCCCUCCCAGAUAUUCCAGGCAUAACACAGGAGUGACUGCAUGUUUGGGGACAGUGCGGAGGCCACUCUGAUUAGAUCAGAGGAUGUGGACUGGUUCAUGAUGUAAAAGCUGAAGGGAGGCCGGGCACAGUGGCUCACGCCUGUAAUCCUAGCACUUUGGGAGGCCAAGGUGGGUGGAUCACGAGGUCAGGAGAUCGAGACCAUCCUGGCUAACAAGGUGAAACCCCGUCUCUACUAAAAAUACAAAAAUUAGCCAGGCGUGGUGGCAGGCGCCUGUAGUCCCAGCUACUGGGGAGGCUGAGUACUGGGGAGGCUGAGGCAGGAGAAUGACGUGAACCUGGGAGGCAGAGCUUGCAGUGAGCUGAGAUCGCGCCACUGCACUCCAGCCUGGGCAACAAAGCGAGACGCUGUCUCAAAAAAAAAAAAUGCUGAAGGGAGGGUGGUAAUGAAGGGAAGAAGACUCCAGGGUUUCAAGUGCCAUGGAUUAAGGGAGGGAGUAAAGGCAGAGGGCCAGGACAGAUGGUUGGAUCUGUCUUAGAGGUGAGGUACCUUCAAGAUGCCUCAGGGAAAAUGGCCAGUAGUCCAUCAGGACUCAAGAGUAAGACUCCAGGAAGACACUUGAAAUGGGAAGAGAGCUAAGAAAAUAAUCCACAUAGAGGUGAUCAUUAAAGGCGUAAAGAAUAAAGCAAUAACGUAAAAAAAAAAAAAAAAAAAAAAAAAAAAAGCAAGGACUGAACUUUAGGGAACAAGUAAGUAGGCUUCUUUUGUGUCCCAAAGCCAGAGAACGAGAACAUUUCAAGAAGAGGGGUUAAAUUCAGCCUGAAGAAGGAAGUUGCACAAAAUCUCUGGAUGUGGCUACCGGGAAGGCCUUGGUGAAUUCUGAGCGAGCCGUUCCCACGGAGGGAGCAGUGGAUGGAGGCCAGCUGAGGACUGCCGGGGUAGAGGGUGGGUGGAGCAGCCAAGGGAGACAGGAGAGGGUGGGAGCCAAUGAAACGGAGAGAGGGAGGCUAGGAGAUUUGCAGGCCAACAGCAUCACAUUAAGUUUCUUUUUAACAAGACGAUCCAGUUUUUCAUUAGAGAAAGAAGGAAACUGCAAAUCAGGGGUAUUUAAAGGUCGUGUGAAAAUCACGAAAACCUCAAGUUGAAUCUGUUCCCACCUAAAUAACUUUUGUUUAGAAACCAAGCAAAGCCACUGAAACCAUCUCAGCACAAAUCCCAAAAUGGAAUUAUUCGGAUGUCUCUGAAAUGGUGUAGGUGCCAUGAGCCACUGUGCUAAUAUGCAGUGUGUCCACACAGAGCCCAGGGCCCAGUGGUGUCAGAGACAAAGGCCAGAGCUUCCCAGAAAGUUCCAUAAGGACAGGAAUUCAGGAAGUGGGGUCAAGGGAAGAGCUGCUGUCACUGAAUAUACUGCAGCUUAAGAAAAUGAUCCUGUUUAACCAGCACCUACUAUGGGCUAGGCACUUCACCGACAUUUUUCUCAUCCUGAACAAGACUACGAAGUAUUUUUUCUGUUACUAUCCCCACAGUGGAGAUAAGGAAACACAGGUUCAGGGUAAGUUGCCUCAAACCCACAGUUCGUAAGUGGCAGAGAUAACCUUGGAGCCCAGGUAUAUCUGCCUCUAACCCCACCGUGUUCCCAUCCGGCCUGGAACCUCACCCAAACACACUGGACCCUCAAAAAUAAAAAAAUGAAUAAAUAAAUAAAUAAGUGUCAUUAUCACCUGUAACAGCCAGUAAAAGACAAGUGCCCCUUGAUGUGAGUGCAGCAUAACUUUCCCAGUUUGACCUCUUCAAAAGUUGGGUUUUGUUGUUUUUUAAAUUAUCCUGAACUUGACAAACUUUAUUUUAAAAAAAAAAUUCACUCACUUAGUCUUUGAGUAAAUGAAGAAUAGGGCCAUGUGUCAGUGCUGGGGACACAAGCCCUGUGCUCAAGUUGUCACAGAGAGAGAAGGCUCAGGACAGCAGGGUGGUGGGGGGGCAUCUUCCUUCAUAGAGGAGAGAAUAUGAGCCAAACCUAUUUGUCUAAAUUUGUUUUUAUUUUCAUCAAAGUAUUACCUAUAAAUCUGAAAAACCAAAUAGUGCCCCAAAAAGCUUACAAUUGAAAAUGGAAGUCUCCUGUUUCCUAUCCUUUCACCUUGUUUCCCCAAAGCUGUCUCUGCUGUUAUUUCUAUCCCCAUCUCUAAAUAAUACAUGUAUUCUUUAAGCCAGGUGCGGUGGCUCAUGCCUGUAAUGCCAGCACUUUGGACAGCCAAGGCUGGUGAGAUCACUUGAAGCCAGGAGUUCAAGACCAGCCUGGGCAACAUGUUGAAACCCCAUCUCUACUAAAAAUACAAAAAUUAGCCAGGUGCAGUGGCACAUGCCUGUAGUCCCAGCUACUGGAGAAGCAAAGGCAGGAGGAUUUCUUGAGCCCAGGAGGUGGAGGUGUCAGUGAGCUGAGAUCAAGCGACUGCACCCCAGCCUGGGUGACAGAGUGAAACCCUGUCUCUAAAUAAAUAAAUAAAUAUAUAAAACUAAAUAAC